GGGAGUAAAAGUCGUAACAAGGUUUCCGUAGGUGAACCUGCGGAAGGAUCAUUAUUGUAUAACCGAGGUGCGAGGGCUGUCGCUGACCCGAAAGGUCGUGCACGCCCGAGUGCCCUCACACACAUCCAUCUCACCCCUAUGUGCACCACCGCGUGGGUCCCCCUUUGGCUUGUUCGGAGGGGGGCUUACGUUUUCACACAAACUUUGUAUGCAGUGUAGAAUGUAUUUUUUGUUUUUGCGAUCACGCAAUCAAUACAACUUUCAACAACGGAUCUCUUGGCUCUC
rnacentral:misc_RNA from 1 species